AUCUAACUUUCGAGUCUCAAAUAGGACGAAACACGUGUCGAACUGGAU
rnacentral:hammerhead_ribozyme from 1 species